AGAGUUUGAUCAUGGCUCAGAAUGAACGUUGGCGGCGUGGAUUAGGCAUGCGAGUCGAGCGAGAACCCAGCAAUGGGGGACAGCGGCGAAAGGGACAGUAAUGUGUAGAUUAUCUGCCCUCGGGUCCGGGAUAGCUGCGGGAAACUGCAGGUAUUACCGGAUAACAUCUCCGGAUCAAAGGUGUGAUUCCGCCCGAGGAUGAGUCUGCAUCCUAUUAGCUUGUUGGUGGGGUAAUGGCCUACCAAGGCUUUGAUGGGUAGCGGGUGUGAGAGCACGACCCGCGUCAUUGGGACUGAGACACUGCCCAGACACCUACGGGUGGCUGCAGUCGAGAAUCUUCGGCAAUGGGCGCAAGCCUGACCGAGCGACGCCGCGUGUGGGAUGAAGGCCUUCGGGUUGUAAACCACUGUCAGAGGGGAUGAAAUGCAGGUGGGUUCUCCCACUUGUUUGACAUAGCCUCAGAGGAAGGACGGGCUAAGUUCGUG
rnacentral:rRNA from 1 species